UACGUAGGGACCAAGCGUUGUUCGGAUUUACUGGGCGUAAAGGGCGCGUAGGCGGCAAUUCAAGUCAUCUGUGAAAUCUCCGGGACUUAACCCGGAACGGUCAGAUGAUACUGCUUUGCUAGAGUGCGGAAAGGGGCAAUCGGAAUUCUCGGUGUAGCGGUGAAAUGCGUAGAUAUCGAGAGGAACACCAGAGGUGAAGACGGGUUGCUGGGCCGACACUGACGCUGAUAGCGCGAAAGCCAGGGGAGCAAACGGG
rnacentral:rRNA from 1 species